rnacentral:lncRNA from 10 species
AAAUGAUGGAAUUAGAUAUAGGAGAUGCCACCCAAGUUUAUGUAGCGUUCUUGGUUUACCUGGACCUCAUGGAAAGCAAAAGCUGGCAUGAAGUAAACUGUGUAGGAUUACCAGAACUCCAGCUCAUCUGCCUUGUUGGUACUGAGAUAGAAGGGGAGGGGUUACAGACUGUGGUGCCUACCCCCAUCACUGCUUCCCUCAGCCAUAACAGGUGAGCAGGUGAUUUUGGUCUAAGUUCCUUUCCCGAGUAAAGCAGUAGGAAACAUUAAACAUAGUGAUGUAAUACUUUUAAUGAAAUUUGGGAUACAGGGUUCAUAGCUUUACUCUUGGCUAUUUGAGGAAUAAGUUAAAUAUGAGUGUUGUAUUCGGCCAUUCUUGCAUUGCUAUAAAGAAAUACCUGAGACUGAGUAAUUUCUU